rnacentral:rRNA from 1 species
GAGUUUGUAUCCUGGCUCAGGAUGAACGCUAGCUACAGGCUUAACACAUGCAAGUCGAGGGGAAACGGACAUCGAAAGCUUGCUUUUGUAUGGGCGUCGACCGGCGCACGGGUGAGUAACGCGUAUCCAACCUGCCCACCACUUGGGGAUAACCUUGCGAAAGUAAGACUAAUACCCAAUGACGUCUCUAGAAGACAUCUGAAAGAGAUUAAAGAUUUAUCGGUGAUGGAUGGGGAUGCGUCUGAUUAGCUUGUUGGCGGGGUAACGGCCACCAAGGCGACGAUCAGUAGGGUUCUGAGAGGAAGGUCCCCACAUUGGAACUGAGACAGGUCCAAACUCCUACGGAGGCA